rnacentral:snoRNA from 1 species
CCCCUCUCAGGGUCGUGCCUGGACAGUUUCCAGGACUCUACCAGUCUCGGCUGCGGGAGGGAGAGUCAAGCAGAGGCCUACCCAUUCCAUUCCUAGCUUGGGCAGUGGCUAGCCAGUGGAAAUCAUCCGCUACAAGU